GUGCUUGAUUCAGAAGUGCAUAUACUAAAAUUGCAACCAUACAGAGAAGAUUAGCAUGGUCCCUGCGAAAGGAUGACACGCAAAUUCGUGAAGUGUUCCAUAUUAAG
rnacentral:snRNA from 1 species